rnacentral:rRNA from 1 species
CCUACGGGUGGCAGCAGUGAGGAAUAUUGGUCAAUGGACGAGAGUCUGAACCAGCCAAGUAGCGUGAAGGAUGACUGCCCUAUGGGUUGUAAACUUCUUUUAUAUGGGAAUAAAAUGUUCCACGUGUGGGAUUUUGUAUGUACCAUAUGAAAAAGGAUCGACUAACUCCGUGCCAGCAGCCGCGGUAAUACGGAGGAUCCGAGCGUUAUCCGGAUUUAUUGGGUUUAAAGGGAGCGUAGGUGGGUUGUUAAGUCAGUUGUGAAAUUCUGCGAGUCAACCUUCACAUUGCAGUUGAAACUGGUAGUCUUGAGUACAGUAGAGGUAUGCGGAAUGCGUGGUGUAGCGGUGAAAUGCUUAGAUAUCACGAAGAACUCCGAUUGCGAAGGCAGUACACUGGAGUGCGACUGACACUGAAGCUCGAAAGUGUGGGUAUCGAACAGGAUUAGAUACCCUAGUAGUC